AUGAACGCUAGCGGCGUGCUUAAUACAUGCAAGUCGAACGAGGAGCCUUUGUAGCAAUACGGAGGUUUCCUAGUGGCGAACGGGUGCGUAACGCGUUGGUGACCUGCCCCGAAGAGAGGGAUAACAGACCGAAAGGUUUGCUAAUACCUCAUGUGGUCGAGAGAAUUAGAUACCUCUUGACUAAAGUCGCAAGACGCUUCGGGAGGGGCCUGCGUCCCAUCAGCUAGUUGGUAGGGUAAUGGCCUACCAAGGCUUCGACGGGUAGGGGACCUGAGAGGGUGGUCCCCCACACUGGCACUGAAACACGGGCCAGACACCUACGGGUGGCAGCAGUAGGGAAUAUUGGGCAAUGGGCGAAAGCCUGACCCAGCAACGCCGCGUGUGCGAUGAAGGCCUUCGGGUCGUAAAGCACUUUUCUGGGAGAUGAGAAAGGACAGUAUCCCAGGAAUAAGUCUCGGCUAACUACGU
rnacentral:rRNA from 1 species